AUGCCACAACUCAUUUUACUUCAGGAGUUUUGUAGCAAUGAACUGUGACCAAAAACGAUGGGAGAAAAAAAGACCAGUAUGUUGGCUUGAACCAAGAAACCUCUUCUGGAGUUUUAAUGUCUCCUUAAAUCAGCUCAGAACAGAGAUGUCUUACAGAGAAGAGUCUACCAGUUUUUUAAGCCUUCCAAAAAGCAGAACACACAAGUUAAUACAUCAGAUUUUACUGGAGGUGGCACACACUACAAGCAUAUUAAUACAAAUUUCACUAUGAGUUGGCAUAAAUUAUGGUCUCCUCUGGGUAUAAAAUGCAUAGUAUUCUUAAAAUAGUCCAUGUAAC